CGACAAAGACACCAACGGUGUUGAGAAUGGCGGCGUCCUCGUUUUACAUGGCCCAGCACAAUCACCACGGCAAUCCCAGUCACAGAACUGAAGACUGCCACCUCAUCUACCACGAACCAGACGGCCACGGCGCCACCGCCAUCGGAGUCCUGACGGAGUUGGAGGUUACAGGAGCCGGGGAAUCGACCCAGGCGAAUACUCCGAGGAACUGAUGAUGAACGCCCUCGCCGCACUCUACGUCCACGAUUCCGACGUAGAUCCGUUGAAAAUCCUGAA
rnacentral:lncRNA from 1 species